rnacentral:lncRNA from 1 species
UGAGAGACUCAUAAUAAAUUAUAAAACAAACUUAAUGGAUGGACAAAAGCGAUGUCAGCAAUUACUAAAGGCAACAAUAGUAUAUUACUGUUUAAUAGUCAUCAAUUGAUUAAGCAGAAACAAAUCUGGAUCACAAACCAUAACGAAGGAAAAUGCACCUACUAUAAGAGAAAAACAAAGGAAAAACAGAAACACUGAACUACAAGAAAAACAUACACCAACA